rnacentral:rRNA from 1 species
AGGAUGAACGCUGGCGGAGUGCCUAACACAUGCAAGUCGAGCGGCAGCGCGAAGAAUUUAUUCUUUGGCGGCGAGCGGCGGACGGCUGAGUAACGCGUGGGAACAUACCCCAAAGUGAGGGAUAAGCAUCGGAAACGGUGUCUAAUACCGCAUAUGAUCUUCGGAUUUAAAGGAUUUAUCCGCUUUGGGAAUGGCCUGCGUACGAUUAGAUAGUUGGUGAGGUAAAGCUCACCAAGUCUACGAUCGUUAACU